CGGGUGAGUAAUGUAUGGGGAUCUGCCUGAUGGCGGGGGAUAACUACUGGAAACGGUAGCUAAUAUCGCAUAAUGUCUACGGACCAAAGCGGGGGACCUCCGGGCCUCGCGCCAUCAGAUGAACCCAUAUGGGAUUAGCUAGUAGGUAAGGUAACGGCUUACCUAGGCGACGAUCCCUAGCUGGUCUGAGAGGAUGAUCAGCCACACUGGGACUGAGACACGGCCCAG
rnacentral:rRNA from 1 species